rnacentral:ncRNA from 2 species
UACGUAGGGUGCAAGCGUUAAUCGGAAUUACUGGGCGUAAAGCGUGCGCAGGCGGUUAUGCAAGACAGAGGUGAAAUCCCCGGGCUCAACCUGGGAACUGCCUUUGUGACUGCAUGGCUAGAGUACGGUAGAGGGGGAUGGAAUUCCGCGUGUAGCAGUGAAAUGCGUAGAUAUGCGGAGGAACACCGAUGGCGAAGGCAAUCCCCUGGACCUGUACUGACGCUCAUGCACGAAAGCGUGGGGAGCAAACAGG